rnacentral:rRNA from 1 species
GGCUCAGAACGAACGCCGGCGGCGUGGCUAAGACAUGCAAGUCGUACGGACCUCAGUAGCAAUAUUGAGGUUAGUGGCGAAAGGGUGAGUAAUGAAUGGGUAACGUACCCUGAACUCGGGGAUAACAGCGCCCGAAAGGGCUUUAGCGAAAGUGCUGCUAAUACCCGAUGACAUCCCGGGAUCGCAUGGUUCUGGGAUCAAAGCCGGGGACCCGCAAGGGCCUGGCGGUUUGGGCGCGGCCCAUUUCCUAUCAGCUAGUUGGCGAGGUAACGGCUCACCAAGGCUUCGACGGGUAGCCGGACUGAGAGGUUGGCCGGCCACAUCGGGACUGAGACACUGCCCGGACACCUACGGGUGGCUGCAGUAACGAAUAUUGGGCAAUGGGCGCAAGCCUGACCCAGCGACGCCGCGUGCAGGAGGAAGUCCUUCGGGAUGUAAACUGCUGUCAGGGGCUAACAAGCAAAGGGUGUUAACAGCAUCCGGCGUUGAGUCGCCCCAGAGGAAGCCACGACUAACUCUGUGCCAGCAGUCGCGGUAAUACAGAGGUGGCAAGCGUUGUUCGGAAUCACUGGGCUUAAAGCGCGUGUAGGCGGACCGGAAAGUGUCGUGUGAAAGCCCCUGGCUCAACCAGGGAACUGCGCGGCAAACUCCCGGACUUGAGGCUGGUAGAGGUGCCUGGAACUCUCGGUGGAGCGGUGAAAUGCGUAGAUAUCGAGAGGAACGCCGGAGGCGAAAGCGGGGCACUGGGCCAGUUCUGACGGUGAGACGCGAAAGCGUGGGGAGCAAACAGGAUUAGAUACCCUGGUAGUCCACGCCGUAAACGAUGCACACUAGACGUCGGACCCUCUGACGGGACCGGCGUCGCAGCAAAAGUCCUAAGUGUGCCGCCUGGGGAGUACGGCCGCAAGGCUAAAACU